rnacentral:rRNA from 1 species
GUAGGGAAUAUUGGGCAAUGGAGGCAACUCUGACCCAGCCAUGCCGCGUGCAGGAUGACGGCCCUCUGGGUUGUAAACUGCUUUUAUACGGGAAGAAAAAAUACUACGUGUAGUAUACUGACGGUACCGUAAGAAUAAGGAUCGGCUAACUCCGUGCCAGCAGCCGCGGUAAUACGGAGGAUCCAAGCGUUGGCCGGAUUUAGUGGGUUUAAAGGGUGCGUAGGCGGAUCUUUAAGUCAGUGGUGAAAGCCUGCAGCUUAACUGUAGAAUUGCCAUUGAAACUGAAGAUCUUGAAUGUGGUUAAAGUAGGCGGAAUGUAUCAUGUAGCGGUGAAAUGCUUAGAUAUGAUACAGAACACCGAUAGCGAAGGCAGCUUGCUGAACCAUUAUUGACGCUGAGGCACGAAAGCGUGGGGAGCGAACAGGAUUAGAUACCCCUGUAGUCC